CGUGGAGCAGUGACAUACAAGAUUAAUGAAAAUGUUCUCCAGUCCCUUCAAGUCCUUCUGGUGAGUGCCUGUUGGAGGGGGAAGAGGAAAUGUGCUGCAAGUGCAGGAGAGCCCUGGAUGUGGGAGGAUUUCUGGCUGCAAGCAGAAAUCAAGCUCAGCAGGGAUUGGAAGAGCAGUAUUAAGAGGAACCAUUCCCUCAGCUGAUCGGAUUCAUCACCCUGUAUCCUCCACGGAUCAUAGCCUGGCUACAGCAGCUGAAAGAUUCAUCUGGGAUGAUCUCAUCUUGACCACUCAGGUUCUCCCUCUGAUGUUCAAGACAACAUAAGGGAUAGUGAUUGUACAGCAAGGUCUGUUAUCCUGAGUAAAGAUCGUCCUCUGCAACUCUAGCUGUCAGAGACCCCCCUGGAGACAUCAGCCUCUGCUCCAAGAAUGGUCGGAGUUAAAUGGUACCAUGGAGAAAGAAAAAAAACUCGCAUCCUCUGACUGGCUUCAACAAAGAAUGUGAAAUCGGACCACCUCCUUCACCCGACUAUUUGGCACAAAAUCAUGCUCCUUUGUCUUGACGGACACCUCCGUAAUUCCCAGGCUGUGGCUGCAGCUCCGGAAAACAGAUGUGCAGUGGGGAAGGCUUCCUCCCUUCCAUAUAGAAUCGUUCCCGCACAAGCUGUUUGCAGGAGCUGAAAUGCUCUGCUAGUUCCUGAAUACCUAGCAGUUGCAUCCAGCACAUCUCACCUUUUGCAAGUGUUUGUGCCCACCCAUUGCUCGCAUUUUGUUUAAUCCAGUACGUGCCUUUGCUACUCAUUUAAAAAAGAGUCUGGGAGAAGAACUGCAGAGGGAAGCUUUGAACUGGGCACACUAACAGAUAUGCUCCUGAUUGGGGGUAUCACAAUUUAAGCGUACUUUCCUGAGCUUGGCAAGUCCACACACCGGCCCAGCUGGGUACAGAUUGGGCUUCUCUCAGCCCACCAGCUAAAAUACGAUGCAGGGCGGCAAGUCCAGAAUGGCCAUUAUAUUAUCUUUGCUGUAAAGUUCUUUGAUAAUGUACUCAAGAAAUGCAGGUCAAAGUCUAGAGAGGGCCUACACUGAUUGCCCAAAUUAAAACUGACCUUUUCUAGCUUGUGUAAUUAAUCCUAUUGAAAAUUUAUACAUAAAAACAAGUGUUUAAUUCUAAGGCCUUAAAUAGACAUAUCAAUAGAUGCAAGUGUACAAUGAUAGUAACGUCAUUCCUGGCUUUUCCUGUCUCUCAGCUGUCCUGAAAGGAAGUCCACCUUUGCAAUGAAGAUAAUUUGAAUGUGAUCUGAAUAGUCAAGUGCUAUGAAUACAUUGUUACACAAAACAGAUGGAAAAAAGAGUAUUUGUGUGAAAUAGCAUCUCCAGCUGCUUACUUCAGAAAUCAAGAGUGAUGCUAUCUAUGCAACAAUAAAUCCUGCUCACCCGAACCCCUCAUACAUGCCCCCAAACAAUGAAUGAAAGAAUGAUUGAAUGAAUGAAACUUAAAACUGGAUUCAUUGUAGCCAUGACUUAGUCAUGCUUAAGUAAGCAAGAGGAUGAACUGUCAGAAGCUUCUUCUUGGUUUUGAUCUGAUCGGCUGAACUACUGAAAUGUAUAAAUACAUCUACAGCUGCAUUAAAUAUAAAAUAUAAAAACCCAAUAACUUUGUGUAUGAUCAUAUAGUAAAAAGGCAUUAUAGCAUACACAUAGAAUGCCCAUAUUUCCAAGCAGCUGACCAGAUUACCAAGGGAAACAAAAAUUGUAGCUUACGUCAUUUUAGAAACAUCUAAAAUAGUUCAGUCUCUUCUAUACAAAAUACUGUGUUAAGGCUCUGUCAAAGCUGAAAGCUAAAAUAAGGUUGAAACUAAGCUAGAAUUCUUCCUCCUCUGUUGUGCAAAGGCCACUGUUACGAGCCAAACAUCAUCUAAAUUAUCAGCCAUCAAAUCCACAAACCCUGCAGGACUGAACAGGAAUGAUUCUGUGAUGGUGACGAUCCUGAAGUUUGAGGUCCCUCCCCCAGCAGAAAAUGGGAAAUCUGAUUUAAAAAUAGCUGUUUAGCAUCUUCAAGUCUCUGUCAUAUUAGAAAAGACUCUAGUCAGGAUGGCUGCAGGCAUAGUGCACAUAUGGAGGUCAAAGAUGCCUGCUCAGGGCUAUUUAGUGUAAACUGUAUUUACAUCGUGAAUACCAUCAGCAGGAGACUUGACCAAAUACUUUACAGAGUUGAAAGCUUAAGUCAUUUGGCAGGUUGUUUGUUAAAUUUCUAUAGAUUACUCCUGAUUUAAUAUCCUGCAGCUACUGUACAGCAGUUGACCAGAAUGAUCUGAAAUUUUAUUCAGACAGCUUUAGUGCUAGGGGCAUGAAUAAACAUUAAAAAAAAAAAAAGACUUUGGAAAUACUUGGAAAAAGUAUUGGGAUACUUGGGAAAUAUUCUAACAUACUGAGCAUAAAGUUAUGUUCCAUUUAAUUAAUGAUUCUAUCUGCUUAUAGGGUUCAUUCUUUAUUUUCUCCACAUAAUGAAAAUUGGAUUUUUUUUCUCCAUAUCCUGAUUUCUUUGAGGAUUGUAGUGUAGCCCAGGAUUCCAUUCUAUAAUCAUGAAUUUUUGAAGGAGCCUCUUUAAGGCUCCUGACUAGUGAUUUUCUGCACCAGUGAACUUGCCUUUUUUAUUAACAGAGAUUGAUUUUCUCCAUCUUGGCAUGUGAAGUUCCAGGGUGGAUCCUUUAGGUCACCACCCGGUAACGUGCAAUGGUAUCUACAGCACAAGAUGUGAAUACUUCAACUUUUAAGCUACCAGAAAUAACAGCUCCGGGAGCACCAGUGUGAGAAGACAGUGUGAAGAAACUAGUAUUUUGUGGAGCCACCAAAAUCUGUUUGGUGCAAUGAAGGAAACUUAUAAUUAUCUUAAAACCCCUUAUUCUGGAUAGGGACUAACACAUUCUAGUUCCCACAAAGAGGUUCCAAUCCCAAAAGAUUGUCCAUUUUGCUUAAAUAUACCUGUUGUGAGGAAUCCAAGUGAUUUCAGUGGGAACAAUUCAGAAUACAUGAAUAUGCACAGAUCUUGUAGGGCCGUAAUUAGGAAAUUCAUUUCAUCAUGUCGUCAUGACCAUGUACAACAGUUGCUGGUCACAGCAAAGGAUGUGCUUUUUGAAAAGUUGCAUUUAUACAGGCUUUGGAAGACAGAUGUCAUAUCACUGCUUCUUCCAGGUGAGCUCUCACAAAGACAUUGUACGUACCCCAAAGUUUUCAGAGAGUGCUGAAAACCUGACCUAAAUACUGCUACAGCAAAACCUAACUGCUGAACAAGAAUUUGUGGAAGCUCACCACAACCUGAAGGCAUUGCACUGGCUGUGUGACCAUUCAGGGAAGAAUUGUGUAGAUGAGAUAUACUGAAUUCUUUAACUAUGAAAACCUACUUACUGGCAGGAGUGACAGAAAGGCACAAUUUCUCUUAAAAGUGAUCCCAAGUAAUUCCAUAGCAUGGAAUUUCUUGGGAUGUUAUCAUAAACCAAAGUCUGUGAAGCAAAGCACAAAAAGUCUGUGGUGUGUAAAUUUAUUUAGGACAUAGCUUCCAAAAAGACCAAAAUGGAGCCCAAGGAAACAGCUGGUUAUCCAGCAUCUCCAGAGUGAGAUUUAAGAUUGUCACUAGGUAUUCUCUGAAUCUAUGAAGAAAGCAUUGAAAAGCUCUUGUAAUUAUUCCCUUGACAUUGUUCCUUCACACAGCAAAUCAAACGCAAAAACUUCAGGAAAAAAUGCACACAGUGAACUGAAGCAGAAAACAUAUUAAUCACAAAUACAGAGAUUUACAGAUUUAAAUUUCCUUCAUUAUUUCUCAGUACUAAUCAGUGACUCAGCUGUGAAAACUUGCCCAAGUCAUCUUUGCCCAGAUUUUUGAGUGGCAUUUAGGUACAUCAAUAAAUACCUAUUUAAA